AUGGCCGCAAACUCACUCUUGGUAACUUUAUGGUUUGGUAUUAUGGCCAUGCUGCUCAUUAAGAUGUUUGUGCUAUGGCACUCAAGGGCCGAAUUCAACGGCGCAACUGGUGACUGCGUGCCCUUUGAGGAAUGUGAGGGUCGCAGAUUUCUGCAGUUCGUUCAUUCAGGCACAUCAAGAUCGCUGGCUAACAAGUUUACAAUACUGCUAGGGGCAUCAUCCACCCAAAAGCAAUCCUGGGAAUCGUUUCUCACCCCGACCUGGGCAAGUUCAUGCCCUACGGUGUUACGUACACGACUACUAAAAGAGAACUUGAAAGACUCGAAAUUUGAAACACAUAAGCUCCAAGCUUCCUUCACCAGUACGCCGAUCGUCGCCAUAUCAAACCCCUUGCUGUUCAGCGCUUACACAAGAUUGGUAGCAUCAGGCUCUCGAAAACAAUUUGGUUUGCGCCAAGUCUGA
rnacentral:rRNA from 1 species